UUAGUGGUACAGAAAAGUAUUUUUAGAGUCGAAAUCUAACGUAUUCAUUAUACUAACCACUA
rnacentral:tRNA from 1 species